GAGCCUGAGAAACGGCUACCACAUCCAAGGAUGGCAGCAGGCGCGCAAAUUACCCAAUCCCGACACGGGGAGGUAGUGACAAUAAAUAACAAUACGGGGUUCUUUAGGAUCUCGUAAUUGGAAUGAGUACAAUUUAAAUCUCUUAACGAGGAACAAUUGGAGGGCAAGUCUGGUGCCAGCAGCCGCGGUAAUUCCAGCUCCAAUAGCGUAUAUUAAAGCUGUUGCAGUUAAAAAGCUCGUAGUUGAAUUUCGGGGUUAGUAGGUUGGUCAUGCCUCUGGUAUGUACUGAUCUCACUGAUUCCUCCUUCCUUAUGAACCGUAAUGCCAUUAAUUUGGUGUUGCGGGGAAUUUGGACUGUUACUUUGAAAAAAUUAGAGUGUUUAAAGCAGGCUAACGCUUGAGUACAUUAGCAUGGAAUAAUGAAAUAGGACGUUCGAUCUUAUUUUGUUGGUUUCUAGGAUUGACGUAAUGAUUAAUAGGGAUAGUUGGGGGCAUUAGUAUUCAAUUGUCAGAGGUGAAAUUCUUGGAUUUAUUGAAGACUAACUACUGCGAAAGCAUUUGCCAAGGAUGUUUUCAUUAAUCAAGAACGAAAGUUAGGGGAUCGAAGACGAUCAGAUACCGUCGUAGUCUUAACCAUAAACUAUGCCGACUAGGGAUCGGAUGAUGUUAAUUUUUUAAUGACUCAUUCGGCGCCUUACGGGA
rnacentral:rRNA from 1 species